AUUGAACGCUGGCGGCAUGCUUUACACAUGCAAGUCGAACGGCAGCGGGGAGGUGCUUCCUUCUCUGACGGCGAGUGGCGAAAGGGUGAGUAAUACAUCGGCCCGGGUCGGGAGGAGGAGGUUAACAAACGGAAAGGGUGACUAAAACCGCAUAGAUUGUGAGGAUGAAAGAUGGGGAGAUCGGAAUCGGCCUGGCGCUCCUUGAGCGGCUGAUGUCGGAUUAGCUAGUUGGUGCGGUAAAGGCGAACCAAGGCGAAGAUCUGUAGCUGGUCUGAGAGGAUGAUCCGCCACACUGGAACUGAGACACGGCCCAGACUCCUACGGGAGGCAGCAGUGGGGAAUAUUGGACAAUGGGGGCAACCCUGAUCCAGCCAUGCCGCGUGUAUGAAGAAGGCCUUAGGAUUGUAAAGUACUUUUAGUAGGGAAGAAAAGUCGUCAGUUAAUAACGUCUUAUACUGACGGUACCUAAAGAAUAAGCACCGGCUAACUACGUG
rnacentral:rRNA from 1 species